UGCAACAGUCAUAUCACCCUGCAGCCCAAGACUGGUUGCCCACUGAAGCUAAGCAGGGUUGAGCCUGGUCAGUACCUGGAUGGGAGACCUCCUGGGAAAACUAGGCUGCUGUUGGAA
ensembl:rRNA 5S_rRNA 5S ribosomal RNA